rnacentral:misc_RNA from 1 species
GUUGAAGCAAUUCGCUUCUGCAAUUUUUGGCGUGCGAGGAGUGAGAGCGAUGAUAUCAUCGGCGGCGACGGCUUCCCCUCUCCGCUCGCCGGCGACGGCGUUUCAGAGCGGCCGAGCGGCGGAUCGGUGCAUCUUCUCCGUCCCCAGCAGCAGGACGUCCAGCAGGAGGAAUUUCCAAGUGAGAGCAUCAUCACGGGUGGACAAGUACUCGAAGAGCGACAUAAUUGUGUCUCCGUCGAUUCUCUCGGCGAAUUUCGCCAAGCUGGGCGAGCAGGUAAAAGCCGUGGAACUGGCUGGAUGUGACUGGAUUCAUGUUGAU